GGAGUUAGCCGGUGCUUCUUCUGUGAGUGAUGUCCUUCCUGCCGGUUAUUGACCCGCAGGCCUUCUUCCUCACUGAAAGUGCUUUACAACCCGAAGGCCUUCUUCACACACGCGGCAUGGCUGGAUCAGGGUUGCCCCCAUUGUCCAAUAUUCCCCACUGCUGCCUCCCGUAGGAGUCUGGGCCGUGUCUCAGUCCCAGUGUGGCUGAUCAUCCUCUCAGACCAGCUACGGAUCGUCGCCUUGGUGAGCCGUUACCUCACCAACCAGCUAAUCCGACAUAGGCUCAUCCGAUAGCGCGAGGCCCGAAGGUCCCCCGCUUUCCCCCGUAGGGCGUAUGCGGUAUUAGCCUGGGUUUCCCCAGGUUAUCCCCCACUACCGGGCAGAUUCCUAUGCAUUACUCACCCGUCCGCCGCUCGCCACCAGGGAGCAAGCUCCCCGUGCUGCCGCUCGACUUGCAUGUGUUAGGCCUGCCGCCAGCGUUCAAUCUGACCAAGAUCAAAUUCUGA
rnacentral:rRNA from 1 species